GUGGGGAAUUUUGCGCAAUGGGCGAAAGCCUGACGCAGCGACGCCGCGUGGGGGAUGAAGGCCUUCGGGUUGUAAACUCCUUUUCCGGGGGAAGAUAAUGACGGUACCCCGGGAAUAAGCCACGGCUAACUCUGUGCCAGCAGCCGCGGUAAGACAGAGGUGGCAAGCGUUGUUCGGAAUUACUGGGCUUAAAGGGCGCGUAGGCGGCAGCGCAAGUCUGGAGUGGAAUACCGCGGCUUAACCGCGGAACUGCUUUGGAAACUGCGUUGCUUGAGUCAGUGAGGGGAGGGCGGAAUUCCUGGUGUAGCAGUGAUAUGCGUAGAUAUCAGGAGGAAGGCCUGUGGCGAAGGCGGCCCUCUGGCGCUUGACUGACGCUGAGGCGCGAAAGCGUGGGUAGCAAACAGGAUUAGAAACCCCGGUAGUCC
rnacentral:rRNA from 1 species